GCCAGCAUGGUGUAGUGGUUUGAAUGUUGGACUGUAACUCUGGAGUCCAGGGUUCAAUUCCCAGUUCAGCUA